rnacentral:rRNA from 1 species
AUUGAACGCUGGCGGCAGGCCUAACACAUGCAAGUCGAGCGAGCGGCGGACGGGUGAGUAAUGUCUGGGAAACUGCCUGAUGGAGGGGGAUAACUACUGGAAACGGUAGCUAAUACCGCAUACCAUCAGAUGUUCCCAGAUGGGAUUAGCGAGUUGGUGGGGUAACGGCUCACCUAGGCGACGAUCCCUAGCUGGUCUGCGAGGAUGACCAGCCACACUGGAACGGCGACACGGUCAAGACGCCUACGGGAGGCAGCAGGGGGGAAUAUUGCAAAAUGGGCGAAAGCUGGAUGCAGCCAUGCCGCGUGUAGGAAGAAGGCCUUCGGGUUGUAAAGUACUUUCAGCGGGGAGGCGUUACCCGCAGAAGAAGCACUGGCUAACUCCGUGCCAGCAGCCGCGGUAAUAC